rnacentral:lncRNA from 1 species
GGGGGAUGUUUAUUCUGUAAUUACACAUCAGAUCCAGACAUCUGUGGGAGUGACACUCUGGGGUGCUGUAUUAUUAAUCUGAAUUGAAACUGGUCUGUGGAAACAGGGAGUUUCCUUUUAGAGCCAUUUAAAAUCACAGGCAAACCAGGCAGAAUUAUGAGUUUUUAGAGUUUGUAGUUUUUUAUUUUGUAAUGCAACAUCAGAUCGUCCUUAAACUGGCUGAGUGACACCUUGGGGUACUGGACACUUAAUCUGAAUUGAAAUUAGUCUGUGGAAACAGGGAGUUUCCUUUUUAGAGUUAUUCAAAUUCAAAGACAAAACUUGUCAUAUAUGAGUUUUUGGAGGGCUUUUAUUUUACAAUGCAACACCAGAUCAUCCUUAAACUGGCUGAGGGACAAAAAAAUCUACAUUUAAUAUUACUCAACAUUUGAAGUCAAUUUCAUUUUUAUCAGACCGUUUUUCAAAUAUUUGUAUUAUUUUGAACUUAUUCAUUUAUGUAUGUAUGUAUGUAUGUAUGUAUGUAUGUAUUCAUUAAUUCAUUGACAGAGAAACUGGCUCAAUAAAGGAAUGCCAGAGAUCACUUUUCCCUUGAUCUGACUUUUACACGCCAUUACCGUAAUGCCUAAUACCUGCGCGCACCACAAAACAACGUGGCGGCUAGAAUGACCGUGUUUUUUAAAGUGGAGGCUGGCCUGACCGCAGUUAGAGACUGUAGUUUGUAUCGGCGUCCUUUUUGUGCAAUACAGUACAGAAUACAACCUGUAUCCAACUAAUGCAGAGUAUAUUCAAGUUGCCAAAACACUGGUUGUGAAGUACCCUUUCCAGAGAAAUAUAAAAGGAAAUGACUGUCACACCAGACACAUCCCUAAACCGGAAAUUUAAAGCAGAACGUGCACCACUUGCAGGUUAUUGUAGCAUAUGUAAGCACACUGCAAUUUGCAUAAUUUAUUUUUGCACUGUUAAUCAAUUUUACAUUUUCACUUAGUGCAGGUCAAUGUAAGGAAGAUACUGUACAGAUAUUUAAAUCUUUUUUUGUAUAUACUCCACUUUUACACUGCCUGACC